CUUUCCUACGGGAGGCAGCAGUGAGGAAUAUUGGUCAAUGGCCGAAGGGCUGAACCAGCCAAGCCGCGUGAAGGAAUAAGGCCCUACGGGUCGUAAACUUCUUUAGUCAGGGAACAAAGGGUGCCACGCGUGGCGCUGUGAGUGUACCUGAAGAAUAAGCAUCGGCUAACUCCGUGCCAGCAGCCGCGGUAAUACGGAGGAUGCGAGCGUUAUCCGGUUUUAUUGGGUUUAAAGGGUGCGUAGGCGGUUUGUUAAGUCAGCGGUAAAAAUUCCGGGCUCAACCCGGUCCUGCCGCUGAAACUGGC
rnacentral:rRNA from 1 species